rnacentral:misc_RNA from 1 species
UAGCUGGAAAAAAAAAACAUGUGUGAGUUAUUACCUUUCUUGGUGGUGGUGGCGGCGGCGGUGGAGGAGGCGGAGGCGGCUUUUCUUCCCCACUGAAAAACAGUCCUGAAGUGCAGGGCUUUUCAAUUCACUGUUUAGAGACAGAUACUUGUUUUGAAUUGUCUAGCCUGUUCCUGUUUCAUGACCCUAUCUUCCUUUAUGAGUAUAAAUAUGCACCUUUUUCUCUUUUCCACCCUUUAUCGGCAACUUCUUUUGUUUUAA